UGUUAUGCAAUUCUAUGAUGGGUAUUGUCGAUGAGAGAUUUUGGUGGGUUGUUGUUGAAAAGGGUUUCUCUUUUGUGCUUUUUCUUUGGCAGAUUAUUUCUUAAUAUUCCUUUAAUCUAUUUACUCCAUUUUCAUGGGUUUUUAUUCCAAAAACCUAACAAGUUCUUUAUUUUUUUUGUUUGGCUCUCAUUGAUUUGAAUCUUGAUGUUAUGAUUUUUGUUUUCUUUUUAGGUUCUCAUGUCUGUCUUAUAGUUAUUGCAAACCUCUCACAAAAGAUCCGGAAUUCCCUUAAUAAGGUGAGCUUUCUUUCUUCUUCUUUUUUUUCACUGCAUGAUGACCUAAUUUGGUUUUCAUUUUCAUUUUUGUGGUGGAUAUUGUAGGCUAUCUCACUCUCUUUAAC
rnacentral:lncRNA from 1 species